ensembl:lncRNA TTC28-AS1 TTC28 antisense RNA 1
UUACGAGGGCUCCUCCCUUCAGCUUUGGUCCCUCGGGGCGUCUGGGCAGCCUACGCUUUCCGACUGGAAUCAGCCAUUUUACCAAGAAAGUUGGGUUUCUUUUACUGGCAAAUAGUACUUCAAGAGCACAGUCUUAUGUAAGGUGUGGAGAUGCUUGUAUCUGGGACCCCCUGCCAUUUCUCAGGACACCCUCCUGCUCCUAGCUGGGAGAUCCAGCAUCCUCAUGAAUGCGGGGCCCAAGGCCACCAACUGUUCCACCUGCUGUCAGCCAGGCCUGUUGCCCCAGCCCUACACCCACAGCUCACCCAGCAGGGACUGGAGUGUGCUGCUGCACUGCUGGAGCCGGUCGCCCGGGUCGGAGGUUGGGAAGAAGACAGCCGCUGGCAGGCCACUGGUUGGGGGGUCCAGCCGGAAGCCCACAGCGGUGAGGAGGGCCUGCCAGCCAGGGAUGCCGCCCACUUUGUUCUCCACACUCUGCUGGGAUGUGUACAUGGCAUUGCGCUGCCCAUUCUGGAUGCGCUGCAGGGAUUUCUCCACCUGAGGGGGAAUUGGGGUAAACACUGGGAUGCCGGAGCUCAGGCAUCCCAGACAGGAGGAAGUGUGUACUCACACCAGCCAGGAGGAAACAAGCCUGCCUGGGAGGACAGACGAUCAGCCCUGGCUGUCCCUCAGGAGCGGGGGGCCUCCAAGGCACACUGCCCACUGGGUCAAGGAGUAUCCAGGAGGAGUUAGAAGCAUGACCCAUCUGCCUGGCACCAGCACCUGGGGCUGCCAGGCAGCCACCCCUGCAGCUGUGUUGACAGGACCUGGCAGAGGGACUGACCCACCUUUGGAAAAUGACACCAGCAAUAUCAGGAUGUGUCAACUGGAUUUAUGCUAAGAAAAUAGGAUUUUUGGUGUUCCUCUGUUUCCCAAAGUUUGAGACACUUUCAGACACUCUGCUUUGCGGUUGUGGCCGAUGUUACCCAUGGGUGGGACUUUUGCUUUGCUCUAGAUUUUUGUAACACCCUGGGGAGUUUCAGGGGCCAAUGCUGAGAGAAGACCACAGGCUGACACAUCAUGAGGUAUGUUGGUAAAACAGUCCCGGCUGGCCGAGAGGCCACUGAGGGAACAGGCCCAGGGUUUGGUUUGUACUCUGUGAGUCUUGGCCUGGCAGGGUUUCCUGCAAAGCAGAGUCCUCUGAGUGGGACCCCAGGGGAAGCAGGUUGUUGCCUGGAGCUGAGGGGCAGCUCUGUAUUCAGGAGGGGUGCCUGCCUUCCCAUCUCCCCUGUGACCAGAUGUCACAGAAACAUUCUCUCUUUACUCCCUAGACCCUCUGGGCAGGUCCACUAAGAGCAUGUAUUCUAGAACAUGCAGGGCUUGAAGCUUCACAAGAUAUUCAGUGCACUCCUUACAGAUCCUGUCAAAUGUGGACCGGGUGGUGUCAUCGCACCACCAUCAUCCCCUUGUUACCCCUGAGAACACAGCUUCAGAGAGGGUAAGUAACCUAUCUCAGGCCACACAGCCAGGACAUGGAGUAGAUCCAUCCUAAGUCUUUCUACCACACACUCCUUUCUACAGUCAUGGGUUAAAUGAGGGUGCCAUGGAAUGGGUCAUCCAGUGUACACUGACAUCAGGAGGAGUUUCACAUUCAUACACUCAUGGCAAAUGGUUCUGUUGCUCCCUGGUCCAAAGAUGAUCUUAAUAGUAGGAAAAACUCAUUUGGCAGAAGCAAGACUCAGCACACAGGCUCUCUCCCUGAGUCUUCUGUGGCUGGCCUUGCCCUGCCCUCCCCUCCCCAACCCCACUGGCAGAAUAAAGUCGGGGGGCUGUGAGGACUGAGCCCCAGGCCUUGACAGGCACCCGCAGCCAGCCGAACUCCCACCUGCCCAGUUGGAGGGGUGCGAGAAGGCCUUGCUGCUCUGCACCACCUUCAUGGCCUCCCCCAGGGCGGCGCUGGCUUUCAGGCCGUUCAGCAGGGAUGAGUAGAAGGCAUGGAUGAACAUCUUAGAAGCAGCCACUGGCACAGGCCACAGAGACACGAGGACACACUGAGCGCCGGCAGCCAGGAAGGCCCUUGUCAGCGCGAUGACCCCGUCGGCUGUGACUUUGCUGUUGGACUCCUGGGAGGAGCCAAGCACCACCAGCUUCACAGGCAGCUGCAGGUCCAGGACGUCGGCGGCAGUGCCUAACUUACUGAGAAUCAUGCCUGCUGUGAUGAGCCCUUGGAAACCAUCAGGACUGGAUGGUAGGGGUCCUGAGAGGAUUGGGGGAGGAGGCCUUGAUAUGACAGAGUGGACAGAGGCCGUGGAACCCAGGACAGCCAGCCUGCUCCACAAUCCUCAUCCCCACAGACCUUCAUGUGUGGCUCCUAAAUAAGAGGAAACCCACUCCUGAUAAGUCAGGGGCUUUGAAAAGUGAUUUUGUUUAAAUGGUGCAAACAAGCAAGCCAAUCUUGGGGAGACAGGGCUAAACUUAAGUCCUUUAAGAAGCUCUACAUACUGACAAGAUUCUAGUUCCCUUCCACCUUAUAUGCUGCAAAGUAAAAAGUAUCACUGAAUGAGAAAAUCAGCAUAAAGAAGCCCAAUAAUGUCUGCCUGAGUUUCCCCUAUGAUGACUUUUGGUACUUUUUGGGAAACAUUAAGUAUGAAGUUAUUUCAAAAUAAUUUUUUGGUGCCUCUGCUUGGUGAUGCCUUAAACUCUGGGUAAGAGAAACACCAGGUGCCUGUCAGGAGAUGGCCUUUUCCAGGUUUCUGGUUAAGCUACAAACAGCUAACUGGCUGCUGUCAUCAAAAUAAAAGCUUUCUGAAGGUGGAGGCAUCUGAUACCCAGAGUGCUGCUAUCAGCCGGCACGGUGGGCCGCUGGGUGGCAGGAGCGUCGAGAAGGCCAGCUCGCUUCCUAUCUGGGAUUCAGAAUCAGCUAUGGAAACUUGAGAGACCUAGAGAAAAUAACUUCUUUCACUUUGAACUGAUUCUUUGCUUCAUAAGAAAAGUAUUAUCCAGCCACAAAAAUGGUCAAAAUUCAGAUCUACAAAAGCCUGUCAGGCAGAAACUGACCCCACUUAGGCCACGCCAAUGAGCAAGUCAUCAAAGCAGCCAAGACAGGUCCUGUGGGGGCCACCCAUGCACAGGGCCCAGCCUCGGGUCCUAACCCCGCCUAUGCUUUCCGCCACCAUAAAGAGGCCCAUCUGGGUAAGACCUGUCCCGCCUGCUGUGGGGUAUUAGGGCAGAUGGGGUCUGAGGGGUCUGAGGGCUCUGAGAGCAGCUGGCAGCUCAAGGACAUCCGGAGUUGGAGGAUGGAGCAAUGCAGGCCCUUGUGGUAAAGACAGUCCUGCAGCCGCGCAGGCAGGGAUGCUGCAAGUGGAGUGCCAGGCGGGUGCGGAGCCCUGUGGGACUGUGGAGGGGUCAGAGGGAAGCCAGGAUUUUGGGGUCUCUGAGAGUUUGGAGAAGGGGAAGAAGAUUAAAGCUUGUUUCAAAAGUUUCUAAUCAGGUGGGCAGGGCCAAGGGUGGCUGUGGGGUGAGACCCAUGACUCAGGGUGGCCCACUGUUACUCUAUUGAUUUUUGGGCGUUUUUUUCCAAAUUGAUUAUUCUUGCUGAAUGAGACCUGAGUCCUUGACUGUCCCCUUAAAGCCACCUGACUUGUUUUCAGUUCCACUGGCCUGUCGGGCUGUUUUCUACUCAACUCCACUCUUGCUUGUCUGCCCUCCCUGCCUGGGGCCCAGCCAGCAGUCAGCUCAAGGGCCAGAUGAAUUGGGUGGCUGUGCUCUGCCCACUGGGCAUCGUGUGGAUGGUGGGUGACCAGCCCCCUCAGGUGCUCAGCCAGGCCUCAAGCCUUGCUGUGUACCUCAGAGCAGCUCCGUACCCUGAUGUCACAGCAAAGAAACUUAGACAUGACACAAACUGUGGCUUCCCAAGGCAGCAAAGAAUGGCCAGGGGUCAUGAGGGCCGUGCCCCACUUUUGGACAGACCUACUCUAAAGUCACGCUACCUGCGUGCAAAUCAUAAAAUCAACACUUUUGAGGAGAUCACAGCUAUGCCUUCGUAACACAGCCCAGUCCGACCAGAUAGACGGUGCCUCGUGACCCGAAAACAAGCCCCCGGCCCCCCACCAUGUGUGUGAGCCUUACCUUGGACUGCACGCUGAGGGAGCGGAUGGAAGGGACAGCAAGGAGGCCGAAGCGCUCGUAGAGGUACUCAUUGGAGGAGCUUCCCUUCAGGAGGGCGAAAGGAAUGAGGUAGAGCUCCCCCUCCAGAACCAGGAUGAGCUGCCGGUGCCGGCCCACGGGGCCGCUGGAGUGCAUCAGGCCCUAUGGAGCAAGCACGGAGAGGCUGACAUGGGUGGCCCAGCAGGCAGGGGUUUCAGGCACCAGGACAACCCUGAGCCCUAGCCUGGAUGACACAAGCACGAGCAGGUGAGGCCUGUGGGGGUGUGGGGCGCCAUGGGGCAUGGGCCGAGUUGCAGCCCUGCAGGAGCGGCACCAACUGGCAUGCUCGCUUGUGGACUGGCAAGGGCUGGCCUGGCAGCAUCCAUCUGCCUCACAGUCCUGAGAAGGUUAGAGGACAGUUUCUUGAAGUUCACAAGAACCUGAAGUGGGUUGGAGACCGGUCUGUACCGCACAGGCACCCUGAGAAGGGGUGGGAAUGGCCCCUCUCAAAACAAGAUCUGUUUUCCAUUUCAAUGGACAAGAGGCUAGAAAAUCACAGUGAGGACGGGAGGUCUGGGGGCUGGCAUGACAGCCCCUGUAGAAGGGGAUGGGCUGGGUUCUAGGAUCUUCCGUGACCUCCUCUGAGAAAGAGUGGCCCCUUGGCUCUGGGCUUGGGAGGUGCCGUCCCCACUUGUUCCCUCUGGGGAUGUCAGGGGACCCAAUGCAUGGAUGACUCCCAUCCCUCUUGAAAGGCCGAGCAUGAGGACUCGAGGCAGGGUGUGCACAGGGCCACAGCGGACACAGCCUCAUUCCUGUUCAUUGCAGAACAAGGCUAAGGGCGCGGGCAUCUUAAUGAGAGCAGCAGGCAACAAUCCUGGAAGCUGGGUCCACACAGACUGCGGUGAACAAAGAGGUGGCGUGGAAGCUGCUGCUGCAGCCCAGAGCCUGCCAAGAAGGUCCCAGGUCCACAGGGCCUGCGCAACACUGGGUGCCAGGGGUGGGGCUGGCCUGCCCCCCAACCCCAUCUGCUGAGGAGUGGCUGACAAGCGGACACCCACCAGGGUGCCACUCGCUUGUGCCUGGGGAAGCAAAUGUGCUCGCUUGACCCGUCUGAUGUGCUGCCGUGGGCACUUGACUGAGAGUGGCAGAGCACUAGGCUAACCCAAAGUGACACAUGCCUGGCGGGAUGUUCAGUCU